CGGAGGGAGCUAGCGUUGUUCGGAAUUACUGGGCGUAAAGCGUACGUAGGCGGCUAUUCAAGUCAGGGGUGAAAGCCUGGAGCUCAACUCCAGAACUGCCCUUGAAACUAGAUAGCUAGAAUCUUGGAGAGGCGAGUGGAAUUCCGAGUGUAGAGGUGAAAUUCGUAGAUAUUCGGAAGAACACCAGUGGCGAAGGCGACUCGCUGGACAAGUAUUGACGCUGAGGUACGAAAGCGUGGGGAGCAAACAGGAUUAGAUACCCUGGUAGUCCACGCCGUAAACGAUGAUAACUAGCUGUCCGGGCUCUUAGAGCUUGGGUGGCGCAGCUAACGCAUUAAGUUAUCCGCCUGGGGAGUACGGUCGCAAGAUUA
rnacentral:rRNA from 1 species